rnacentral:rRNA from 1 species
UGAGCAAUCUGCCCUUCUCUUCGGAAUAAGCGUUGGAAACGACGUCUAAUGCCGAAUACGACCUCCUUUCGCAUGAUCGGAGGUGGAAAGCUCCGGCGGAGAAGGAUGAGCUCGCGGCCUAUCAGCUAGUUGGUGUGGGUAAUGGCCCACCAAGGCGACGACGGGUAGCCGGCCUGAGAGGGUGACCGGCCACAUUGGAACUGAGACACGGUCCAGACUCCGUACGGGAGNAGCG